rnacentral:tRNA from 1 species
GCCUCUGUAGCUCAGUGGUAGAGCUUCCGCCUUGUAAGCGGAAGGUCAUGGGUUCGAGUCCCAUCGGAGGCU